rnacentral:lncRNA from 1 species
CCCUUCUUCCCCAAACCCGUCGCCUACCCCAAACAUCCUGACGGCCUGAACCCCCUCCCCUUCCCCAAACCCGUCAACCACCACCUCCCAAACCCAUCCUCCAGGACCGCCGCCAUCCUGAAUCCAUCGUCGGUCGCCGCCGCGGCCGCGAGAAGAAGGCGACCGCGCUACCCCUACCCCUCUCUCUUCUUCCUCACAACAACCCCCUCCCCUUCUUCUCGAUCUCUCACUCUGCUCCAUCAAAUCCACCGUCGCCUUUGAGCGGCGUGGACGGAUGAUGUCUCUUCCCUUUCACCAUAAUUAUCCCCUUCAACCUAGGGCACGAUUUCGGAGGCCGCGAUUUAGGUGGCCUAGGGCGCGAUUUGCAGACGGGUGCCGUGAUUUGGGGUGGCCUAGGGCGCGAUUUCGGAAAUCGCCAUUUGUAGAGGAAGGCCGCGAUUUGAAGGUGGCGAUUUGAAGAGGGAGGCCGCGAUUUGAAGAG